rnacentral:lncRNA from 1 species
UCUGGCCUACGCCACAGCCACGCCAGAUCCGAGCCGUGUCUGUGACCUACACCACAGCUCAUGGCAACCCAGAUCUUUAACCCACCGAGUGAGGCCAGGGAUUGAACCUAUGUUCAAUCAGAACAGAGUCAGAUUCGUUUCUACUGAGCCACGAUAGGAACUCCAGGAUUAUUUCUUAUGAUUGUCUGCAUUUCCCACUAAAAUAUUUCUAAUGGGAUACAAAGUGAAAUGGUGACAUGUACAUCCAAAUGUGUUUUAUACAAAUCCAUUCUUGAAGGAGAUUCUUUUUCUCCAUAUAUUCUUUGGCCCACUUGAAUUUACUCUUACUACUGGUAAUAGGUGAGACUCCUUGUAUCCAAGGAAAUUUGUUUCAGGGCUUUGCAUGGAAAAUUUAAAAAAGUAUUCCUAUGACAAGAGCUUAUCCUGAGAUUCUUCCUUCUGGAAAUUUCCUUAAAAAUUUUGUCAUCAUUUUCAUUUAAUUAAAAUGGACUCAGCCAAUCAGGAAUUUCAUUUGCUCUAAAUAUCUACCUUCAUUCAUUUCUGUUGGAUGUUCCUAACCUGUGUCAUCCAGCACAGCACUUGGAAUCAGCAAAUUCUGACACAGUUUGGACCUCGAUCAUGAUAAAAACUGAGCCACAUAAAGGAAAUUCAGAUUUUUCUCUUUGGGGAUGAGGGUUUGCAAGUGGCCAGAUCCUAGUACACAGCUUUUGCAGAAAACUGGAGAAAACUCUGGGGCAGUUUCUCAGGACUGAGAGCAGCGUAAUUUGUGAUGUUUGACACAGUAUUGUAGGGACUGGGAUAUUUGGGAACAUCAAUAUGAAUUUGUUAAGUUAGUUUUUUAUUGUUUUAUUGACAUUAAAUAACUUCCCUGUUCUCUUCUGAAAGAAAAACGGCUUGGGUCAUUACUUUCAUUUUGGGUGUCCAACAAAGAUAGCCCACAUGAUCCACCUAGGAUUUGAUUAUAUGGCAACUUGAAACUGCAGAAGAAACUAGUGAGAAACUUUUUAUUGAUAAACAUCAAAUCCUGGAUCAGUUUAUGAUCUUACCAAUAAAGAUGAAACCAGACUAACACUCCAUAAAUGUAUAUGUAUAAUUCUCAUUAACCAAGAGGUAAUUCUUCUAUUAACAUAUGUUAAAAACAUUGAAUCUGUAAGGAUAAAAUAAAAUUCCAAAAUUUUAGGGAACAUGUCUCACUUGAAAGAUCUUCAGUGAUCUCUACUAUUUGGGGACAGAAAAACAACUGAAGAAAACAAUCGAACCUGAAAUAGGUUAUGGAAAUUAUUUCUAGGAGGUAAUUUCAAAAUUUCAGCACAACAAAUGUAAUCACAAAGAAGUCCAGUGUGUUUAGAGGCAGGAGCUGGAAAAGUGAAACAUUUUCUGUAUCAAUAAUGGUAUUAAUUUUUUUCCUAGCUGAAAGGGAGUUGGCAGAGAGUAAAAUAGAAAGGUAGGGAAAAGAAGAGAAAAAAUAGAAAGUAUGAGAUAUAAAUUGGGAGUCAAUCUCAUAUUUGCAUAAGUAGUAAAACAAAUGUUUACGAACAAAGGUGCCUAAUAUCCUAUUUAAAUUUUUUUAUACAUUAAGAUGUAAAGACCACUGUUCUCAACAAGUUAGAAACACAAAUAUCUUGUGUGAACUGUUUCUUUUUUACUUGCAUGUGUAUUUUUUAAUUUGGGGGAGAUUAAGAGUCAGUUCUAGUUCUGAACUCCACAUGUGGGUUUACACCAUGUGGAACAAAAGCAACUGAUCCUCAAGGGUGAGAUGGACUAUGAACUAAAUUAAUUCAGUAGAGCCAGAAAGCUGGAAGUGAUGUGAUGGUAAAAAUCACAGCUUCUCAGGAAUUUACCGUUAUUUCGGGAGAGCAUUGGACAGUCCAAUGAAAUGAGGUUUCUAGGCAAUUAUCUAUAUUUCAACAAACAGAACAACACUAGUUCAUAUCUGGGGGAACAAAUUAUCAAAUGUACAAAAGAGAACUCUUGGUCAAUAGGAAACAUUCCAUAUGAAGAUCUGUAGCUAAGAAGAAAAUAAUUAUCCAAGUUGCUUGUUAACCUGUGCCAUCUCCUUGGGAUUUAAGUUUAGGCAUUUUGUAGUAUCCAGGAUAAUGUUUAAAAUAGGACAAGAUCUAUGAAUAUUGUUCUGUACUUUACAAACAGAAUGACAUUGAUGUCUUGGUAUUUCCUGCUCCUGUGUUUUCUUUGUGUUUAGUGAAAUCUAUUGGAAAAUGACAAACUCUUGUGUCAAAUGUAAUCAAGGAAAAGGAAUGACAACCACACUUGGGCUGGAGCUUAGAGAGGGGAGGGGGAAGAGAGAUGAAGAAGUAGGAGGAGGAAGAGAGGGAACGUGAGGCUGAUGAUGGGGAGGAGAAGGAGGAAGAGGGAAUGGGGGUUGGGAGAGGAGAAGGGGGAGGGGAAGGGAAGGAGAGGAAAGAAAGGGGACAGCAGUAAGAAAAGCAUCAGCCAUGUGGCUAAACAAACCAGCCUUCUCCCAUUCUUGUUUAGUUUCUUUAAAUUUUAGAGCACACCCUCGUUCUAACAUUUGCACUGUAACUCUUAGAAAUAGAGAAGUAACAAAGGGUCACAUUCUAGAUAGCGGAUUGCUUAAAUAUCUUUUUUCUGCUUUUAUUAUUUAUCCCUGGAAUGAAGUAGAAUUGUUUAGAUCAUCACGAACUCCUAUUCCAGAUACAGAAUUUAUAAUGACUUCAUGUUCAAAAAAUUGCAGUGCACUGUUUGGGGAAAAUUCUUGUGGCAUUUAAUUUUUCAAUUGUUAUUUAUUCCUGGCCAAAUAACUAAGUUUUCACAAAUUGUUGUGACUUAUUGAUCAACAUUAUACUUAAAAUUUCGACUGCUUAUAAAAUAACUAGCUAUUAUUAAUGUGGAUCUAAUAAGCAGUUAAAAAUCAAGGUGGACUAAAACUUAAAAUCAGUAUAAAUAACCCUUAUGGUUAGAAAUGUGUUGAAAGAUAAUAUUUAAAAGUUUAAAUUUAAAGUAAUAAUGUGGGUGGGAAUAAAAGAAGCCAAUUAGGGAAGACUGGUUAAGCCAGCUGUGAGGCUGGAUUUCUCCCACACUUGCAGAGAUUUUCUUUUUUAAUUGAUAGGAAAAGAUGCAAAAUAAAAUGUAUAAUGUAAUAGGCAAAUCUUCUGUUGGAUUAACUCAAAAGUAUAAUAAGCAACUGUUUAGAGUAUCGGCAAAGCACAGGGACAGCAAAUAAUGAAGAUGCUGAUAAUAAUAAUCGUUAAUAAUGGUUUAAGAAUCUCUGAGAUUUCAGUAUAAAUGUGCCAAUGUAGACAUCAUAGGAAAAUAAGCUUUUUGUACUUCCCAGUAUAUUUAUGGCAUUUUGACAUCUGUUAAUAUUUUGAGUUGAGGUGGGAUGUGGGUACAAUAAUUUUUCAAUAUUUACAGUCCGCAAAGAUCUUAAUCUGGCCUUGACCAAGCAUCUAUAUACAUUUAGUAAUGACUAAUAACACCCUUUUAGAGCCUAUGAGAAGACUGUACAAUUUCAUAAAGUAUAUUAGAGGUCCCCAUUACAGGUUUCGUUUAAUCAGAAUAAGGAUGGCAACCACAUUAUAAUGACAAAGACACACCAUGCAUUAAGAUACAUGUGUGGAAUAUGAUUUGAUCUGCCUGCAAAUGAAAUCUUUGAUACAUCAAAGUAGUUCAUGAAUUUCAAGUAGAUUCACUAUUCAGAGUUUAAAAUAUUCUUUCAUAUUCCGUGCUAGUAGAAAAUUGUUAGUUUGUUUCUUUUCUCAGGACUUAGAUAAUGGCACUCUGGUACCCUGCUAUCAUCUUGGACUUAGUACAUCUCCAAAUACUUUUUCUCACCCCCAGGGACUGUGAGUCUGAAGUUGGAAUAACCAGCCACCAAGGAGCCUCAAAUGAGCAAGCUGUUCACUCUGCAGCUUCACAUAUUUAGGAUGCAAAGGCAUCUAUCUACCUUCCACACAUCAAAUCAUUAGCAUGUUCUUAAAAUAUAUGUCAUCUCAAUAAUCAAGAUACACAACUCUCAACAUCAAGAAUAAAAUUAAUUGUCUUUUGGAGUAGUCAUAGAAAAGGAAACAAUUCUUAUAUGUUUGUACUUUCCUACAGACUGCUCUCUAGUCCUGAAGACUGGGGUUCCAUCCAUUAACUUAGAGUUCUCACUGAAUCUUCUAUCAAAAUUGAUGAGCUGAGGCUGUUACACUUAUCUUUACUUUGAAUUUCAUACACUGCCUGCUGGACUUGGGAGAGGCAAGAGCAUCUAUAUUGAUGGCACUUAGGGAGUUUCUGCUAAUUAAGACCUGUUCACCUGAACCAAGCAAGUGGCUACACUCUAUGUAAGAAUAAAUGUUCUUCCUGACCUCACCUGUCUUUCUAUGCAUUAAUUAAGGUGAGUAGAAGAUGAUAUCUGACUGGCAACUUCUUCUGGCAUUAUUUUAUGCUCUCCCAAAAAAGAAUCCAUAAAUAGAGAAGAUAUAAUAUUUAAGUGCUUUUUCUUUGCUACAGUCUGUUUAGCUUUUCUUCACAUAAGAAUGUGUAAUAAUUUAAAGAUGCAUUUAAGUUUUAAAAUGAUGACCUCCUUUUUCAUAAAUAUACCAUAAACCACAUCACAUUUUUAAUAGAUCACUGAUUUAGUGACUGCUUAAAUCAUUAUAUCCCCCACAUUUUGAAAAGAAUAGGCCUAUGCUCAAUGUUAUAACAUCAUUUAAAUAUUUUUUCACUAAAAACUUUAAUUCUUAUUAAAUUCAGGAGACACCUGCAUGAUACACAUAUACAUAAGUGCUUUGACAUCUACCACUGAGUUAUUGAAAUAUCCAUUUCAAAAACCCGUCUCACCACAAUCAAUCAAGUCUUUCAACAGUGUACAGAGAAAAUAAAUAUCUCAAACUGUCUAUUCAAGUGCUCUUAAAGCUUAAAGAGCCUUAGAUAGGAUUAUCAUCAAAGAAUGAAAUGAUAUAUUAAAAUUUUAAGAAUUGCAUUACAGAAGAGUAAUCCUUCCACUUAGAAAA